rnacentral:rRNA from 1 species
GACGAACGCUGGCGGCGUGCCUAAUACAUGCAAGUCGAACGAGUGGCGGACGGGUGAGUAACAUGUGGGAACCUACCCAUCAGAGGGGGAUAACACUUGGAAACAGGUGCUAAUACCGCAUCCUGUUGGAUGGACCCGCGGUGCAUUAGCUUGUAGGUGAGGUAACGGCUGCCCUAGGCGACGAUCACUAGCUGGUCUGAGAGGAUGAUCAGCAAGACUGGGACUGAGACACGGCCCAGACUCCUACGGGAGGCAGCAGUGGGGAAUAUUGCACAAUGGGCGCAAGCCUGAUGCAGCCAUGCCGCGUGUAUGAAGAAGGCCUUCGGGUUGUAAAGUACUUUCAGUCGGGAGGCGUUACCGACAGAAGAAGCACCGGCUAACUCCGUGCCAGCAGCCGCGGUAAUUC